CGGGGCGUAGCGCAGCCUGGUUAGCGCACUAGACUGGGGGUCUAGGGGUCGCUGGUUCGAAUCCAGUCGCCCCGACCA
rnacentral:tRNA from 1 species